rnacentral:misc_RNA from 1 species
GUCUCUGGGUUAGAAGAGGGGGGGCGCUGCGAUGGCUCAGAGUCGCAGCACUGAGUAUCGUAAGACCCGAGACGCACUAAAAAGGAUCAUUGCUAACAUCAGUGACGAUGACCACGGCGCCACCGCAACAGGAGUGCAGACAGAACUCGACAUGGAGACCGAAGCUAUGGAGACCCGCCCUCAGUGUCUUCAAUACGAUUCUCCGCCUGACGAACUGUGGUAUCCAGCACUGUCUGAUGCCCAUGCAGAAGAUGAGCGUGAUGAUGACGAAAUCUUCUCUGACGGCGAAGACGAAAUCUCCUCUGACGGCGAAGACGAAAUCUUCUCUGACGGCGAAGACGGAAGCUUCUCUGACGGUGGUGAAGAUGCCAAGGGCGACACGAACGCUUGCAGCGCUCUGGCAGACUGGGCUGUGCGUUACGGAAUUUCUCAUGCCGCGUUAUUAGCUCUACUCGCCAUUCUAAAUCUACUUGGAUUAGCAGUGCCCCUGGAUCCCCGAACUCUUCUCCGGACACCAGCGUCGUCUUCGAGACAAUUGGUAAAAAUGGGGUCAGGGGAGUAUUUUUACUUCGGCAUCGCACGUAGUGUUCUAAACGUUUUCAAGAAUGCCUCGCCUAGGCCAGCUGAAGUGCGUCUGAAGGUAAAUGUCGACGGACUGCCACUGUUUAAAAGCACGUCCACGGUGCUGUGGCCGAUACUGGGAAUGGUUUCAAAUGCUGGUCAGCACGUUUUUACCAUCGCAGUGUAUUGCGGCAAGGACAAACCGCCCCUCACGGAGUUUUUGAAGGACUUUAGCAAGGAAUGUCGUACACUUUUAGAAACAGGAAUUGCAUAUGCUGGCCAGACAGUUCCGUUCAAAAUUGCAUGCUUCAUUUGUGAUGCUCCUGCUCGCGCCUUUUUGAAAGGCAUUAAAGGACAUAGUGGAUACAAUGCAUGUGAGCGUUGUACACAAACUGGGAUCUACGAUACUGGUAGAAUGACAUUUCCGGAAUGCGACGCUCCUCAGAGAACCCACGACUCUUUUAUUGCCAUGAGUGAUGCUGAUCAUCACCGGCUCCAGUCUCCUUUGAUAGCUUUAGUCCCAAACAUGGUUAGAGAUUUCACAUUGGAUUAUAUGCACAUGUGCUGUCUAGGGGUGACAAAACUGAUGAUUCGCCUCUGGAUGUCAGGACCUUUGACAGUUCGUUUGCCGGCCUCAGUUGCAGAGAGGAUUUCGGGUCGGUUGUCUGCGCUCGGUUCUAGCUUUCCUAAGGAAUUUGCUAGAAAGCCCAGAAGCCUCUACGACUAUAGAAUGUGGAAGGCGACGGAGUUUAGAACAUUCAUGUUGUAUACAGGACCUGUUGUUUUGAAGGGGCUAUUGUCGGAUGACAUGUACAACUUGUUUCUUUGUUUUUCAAGCGCAAUGACGGUUUUGUUAUGUCCUGACUUUGCAUAUCGCUAUUCGGCCUUUGCAAAAGGCCUGAUGUGCACAUUUGUGAAGAACUUUGCAAAGCUUUUCGGAAGCCAAUUCGUAGUGUACAAUGUGCAUAGUCUGAUACACUUGAGCGAAGA